rnacentral:rRNA from 1 species
AUGCGUUGUUGGGUAGGGGAGCGUUCUGUAAGCCUGUGAAGGUGUGCUGUGAGGCAUGCUGGAGGUAUCAGAAGUGCGAAUGCUGACAUAAGUAACGAUAAAGCGGGUGAAAAGCCCGCUCGCCGGAAGACCAAGGGUUCCUGUCCAACGUUAAUCGGGGCAGGGUGAGUCGACCCCUAAGGCGAGGCCGAAAGGCGUAGUCGAUGGGAAACAGGUUAAUAUUCCUGUACUUGGUGUUACUGCGAAGGGGGGACGGAGAAGGCUAUGUUGGCCGGGCGACGGUUGUCCCGGUUUAAGCGUGUAGGCUGGUUUUCCAGGCAAAUCCGGAAAAUCAAGGCUGAGGCGUGAUGACGAGGCACUACGGUGCUGAAGCAACAAAUGCCCUGCUUCCAGGAAAAGCCUCUAAGCAUCAGGUAACAUCAAAUCGUACCCCAAACCGACACAGGUGGUCAGGUAGAGAAUACCAAGGCGCUUGAGAGAACUCGGGUGAAGGAACUAGGCAAAAUGGUGCCGUAACUUCGGGAGAAGGCACGCUGAUAUGUAGGUGAAGUCCCUCGCGGAUGGAGCUGAAAUCAGUCGAAGAUACCAGCUGGCUGCAACUGUUUAUUAAAAACACAGCACUGUGCAAACACGAAAGUGGACGUAUACGGUGUGACGCCUGCCCGGUGCCGGAAGGUUAAUUGAUGGGGUCAGCGCAAGCGAAGCUCUUGAUCGAAGCCCCGGUAAACGGCGGCCGUAACUAUAACGGUCCUAAGGUAGCGAAAUUCCUUGUCGGGUAAGUUCCGACCUGCACGAAUGGCGUAAUGAUGGCCAGGCUGUCUCCACCCGAGACUCAGUGAAAUUGAACUCGCUGUGAAGAUGCAGUGUACCCGCGGCAAGACGGAAAGACCCCGUGAACCUUUACUAUAGCUUGACACUGAACAUUGAGCCUUGAUGUGUAGGAUAGGUGGGAGGCUUAGAAGUGUGGACGCCAGUCUGCAUGGAGCCGACCUUGAAAUACCACCCUUUAAUGUUUGAUGUUCUAACGUUGACCCGUAAUCCGGGUUGCGGACAGUGUCUGGUGGGUAGUUUGACUGGGGCGGUCUCCUCCUAAAGAGUAACGGAGGAGCACGAAGGUUGGCUAAUCCUGGUCGGACAUCAGGAGGUUAGUGCAAUGGCAUAAGCCAGCUUGACUGCGAGCGUGACGGCGCGAGCAGGUGCGAAAGCAGGUCAUAGUGAUCCGGUGGUUCUGAAUGGAAGGGCCAUCGCUCAACGGAUAAAAGGUACUCCGGGGAUAACAGGCUGAUACCGCCCAAGAGUUCAUAUCGACGGCGGUGUUUGGCACCUCGAUGUCGGCUCAUCACAUCCUGGGGCUGAAGUAGGUCCCAAGGGUAUGGCUGUUCGCCAUUUAAAGUGGUACGCGAGCUGGGUUUAGAACGUCGUGAGACAGUUCGGUCCCUAUCUGCCGUGGGCGCUGGAGAACUGAGGGGGGCUGCUCCUAGUACGAGAGGACCGGAGUGGACGCAUCACUGGUGUUCGGGUUGUCAUGCCAAUGGCACUGCCCGGUAGCUAAAUGCGGAAGAGAUAAGUGCUGAAAGCAUCUAAGCACGAAACUUGCCCCGAGAUGAGUUCUCCCUGACUCCUUGAGAGUCCUGAAGGAACGUUGAAGACGACGACGUUGAUAGGCCGGGUGUGUAAGCGCAGCGAUGCGUUGAGCUAACCGGUACUAAUGAACCGUGAGGCUUAACCUUACAACGCCGAAGCUGUU